rnacentral:rRNA from 1 species
GACGAACGCUGGCGGCGUGCUUAACACAUGCAAGUCGAACGGAAAGGCCUUUUCGGAGGUACUCGAGUGGCGAACGGGUGAGUAACACGUGGGUGAUCUGCCCUGCACUCUGGGAUAAGCCUGGGAAACUGGGUCUAAUACCGGAUAGGACCGCACUUUAGUGUGUGUGGUGGAAAGUUUUUUCGGUGUAGGAUGAGCCCGCGGCCUAUCAGCUUGUUGGUGGGGUAAUGGCAUACCAAGGCGGCGACGGGUAGCCGGACUGAGAGGUUGGUCGGCCACAUUGGGACUGAGAUACGGCCCAGACUCCUACGGGAGGCAGCAGUGGGGAAUAUUGCACAAUGGGCGCAAGCCUGAUGCAGCGACGCCGCGUGGGGGAUGACGGCCUUCGGGUUGUAAACUCCUUUCGCCAGGGACGAAGCGUUUUGUGACGGUACCUGGAGAAGAAGCACCGGCUAACUACGUG